AUGUUGCCAAAAAGUGGCAGGCUACUUCUCAUACAAUCUGUCUUAUGCGCCAUCCCCGUCCACUCAAUGCUAGCACUGCAGCUGCCUUUAAAAACCCUAUCAGCCCUGGUCAAAAUCUGUCGAGGAUUCCUAUGGUGCGGCAAGAAAGAAGCGCGAGGUGGAAACUGUGCGGUAGCUUGGGAGGUGGUCUGCACGCCGAAAUGGGCCGGUGGCCUAGGAAUAUUGAAUCUUCACUAGCUGAACAAGGCACUACAAGCACGGUGGCCAUGGUUGCAAAAGGUGGAUAAGGAUAGACCAUGGGCGGAGUUCCAAAUCGAUGUUCCACAGGAAGCUCACGCUCUAGUCCAGGCGGCCGCACGCACGACGGUCGGCGGCGGGAGAUCCACACUGUUUUGGGAGGAUCGAUGGAUUAACGGACUCCGAAUUUGCGAGAUAACACCAGAUGUUUAUAACAAGAUCCCCAGGAGAAUCAGAAGAAGCAGACUGGUGGCAGAUGCACCCGUAGAGAGCAACUGGGCAGGAGAUAUUGGCCCUGACAUUACCCAAGCGACCUUGGGCCAGUUUCUGCGACUAUGGCCGCUGAUCACAGCCUGGCAGCUAAUGGAUGGGGUGGAAGAUUCGGUCGCUUGGGCUUGGGAAGCGAAUGGCAACUUCUCGUCCCGCUCAGUUUAUGCGGCCAGGUUAAUGGGACUCGAGCUAUCCUCAGUGGCAUCUUUCACCUGA
rnacentral:rRNA from 1 species